rnacentral:rRNA from 1 species
GACGAACGCUGGCGGCGUGCUUAACACAUGCAAGUCGAACGGAAAGGCCCUGCUUUUGUGGGGUGCUCGAGCGGCGAACGGGUGAGUAACACGUGAGUAACCUGCCCUUGACUUUGGGAUAACUUCAGGAAACUGGGGCUAAUACCGGAUAGGAGCUCCUGCUGCAUGGUGGGGGUUGGAAAGUUUCGGCGGUUGGGGAUGGACUCGCGGCUUAUCAGCUUGUUGGUGGGGUAGUGGCUUACCAAGGCUUUGACGGGUAGCCGGCCUGAGAGGGUGACCGGCCACAUGGGGACUAAGGUACGGCCCAGACUCCUACGGGAGGCAGCAGGGGGGAAUAUUGCACAAUGGGCGGAAGCCUGAUGCAGCAACGCCGCGUGCGGGAUGACGGCCUUCGGGGUAUAAACCGCUUUCGCCUGUGACGAAGCGUGAGUGACGGUAAUGGGUAAAGAAGCACCGGCUAACUACGUG